rnacentral:snRNA from 1 species
AUGAAAAACCAGAAAAAAAAUAA